UUCCGGUUGACCUGCCGGACCCGACUGCUAUCGGAGUGGGACUAAGCCAUGCAAGUCGUACGUCCCGGGCUGGUGGGACGUGGCGUACGGCUCAGUAGCACGUGGCCAACCUACCCUGCGGACGGCUAUAACCCCGGGAAACUGGGGCUAAUAGCCGAUAGGGGAUAGGCGCUGGAAGGCCCUAUCCCCGAAAAGGCUACACACCCAUGCCGUGUGUAGCCGCCGCAGGAUGGGGCUGCGCCCUAUCAGGUAGUAGGUGGGGUAACGGCCCACCUAGCCUAUAACGGGUGCGGGCCCUGGGAGGGGGAGCCCGGAGAUGGGCACUGAGACAAGGGCCCAGGCCCUACGGGGCGCAGCAGGCGCGAAACCUCUGCUAUGCGCGAAAGCGCGACGGGGCCACUCCGAGUGCCGCCUGCUGAGGGCGGCUUUUGCCCAGUCCAAAAGGCUGGGCGAAUAAGGGGAGGGCAAGAUUGGUGUCAGCCGCCGCGGUAAUACCAACUCCCCGAGUGGUCGGGACGAUUAUUGGGCUUAAAGCGUCCGUAGCCGGUCGGGUGUGUCGUCGGUCAAAUCCGACGUCUCAAGCGUCGGACUGCCGGCGAUACUACCCGGCUAGGGAGCGGGAGAGGCGGCCGGUAUUCCCGGGGUAGGGGUAAAAUCCUCAGAUCCCGGGAGGACCAUCGGUGGCGAAGGCGGGCCGCUAGAACGCGUCCGACGGUGAGGGACGAAAGCUGGGGGAGCGAUCCGGAUUAGAUACCCGGGUAGUCCCAGCUGUAAACGAUGCAGGCUAGGUGUGCGGCCACCUUAGGGGUGGCCGUGUGCCGAAGGGAAACCGUUAACCAUGCCGCCUGGGGAGUACGGCCGCAAGGCUGAAACUUAAAGGAAUUGGCGGGGGAGCACCACAAGGGGAGGAGCCUGCGGUUCAAUUGGAGUCAACGCCCGAAANCUUACCCGGGGAGACACAGGAUGAAGNCCAGCUGAAGACCUUNCCAGACAAGCUGAGAGGUGGUGCAUGGCCGUCGCCGGCUCGUACCGUGAGGCGUCCGGUUAAGUCCGGCAACGAGCGAGACCCGUGCCGCCAGUGUGCUCCAGCCCUCUUCGGGGGGCUGAGGAAACUGGUGGGACUGCCGCCUUAAGGCGGAGGAAGGAGCGGGCUACGGCAGGUCAGUAUGCCCUGAAUCCCCGGGGCCACACGCGGGCUACAAUGGCGCGGACAGAAGGUGGCGAGCCCGAAAGGGUGAGCCAAUCCCUAAACCGCGCCUCAGUUGGGAUCGGGGGCUGCAACCCGUCCCCGUGAACCUGGAAUCCCUAGUAACCGCGUGUCAUCAUCACGCGGUGAAUACGUNCCUGCUNCUUGCACACACCNCCCGUCA
rnacentral:rRNA from 1 species